rnacentral:rRNA from 1 species
GACGGAGGAUGCAAGUGUUAUCCGGAAUCACUGGGCGUAAAGCGUCUGUAGGUGGUUUAAUAAGUCAACUGUUAAAUCUUGAGGCUCAACCUCAAAAUCGCAGUCGAAACUAUUAGGCUAGAGUAUAGUAGGGGUAAAGGGAAUUUCCAGUGGAGCGGUGAAAUGACGUAGAGAUUGGAAAGAACACCGAUGGCGAAGGCACUUUACUGGGCUAUUACUAACACUCAGAGACGAAAGCUAGGGUAGCAAAUGGGG